rnacentral:rRNA from 1 species
GGCCUAACACAUGCAAGUCGAGCGGUAGCACAGAGAGCUUGCUCUCGGGUGACGAGCGGCGGACGGGUGAGUAAUGUCUGGGAAACUGCCUGAUGGAGGGGGAUAACUACUGGAAACGGUAGCUAAUACCGCAUAACGUCGCAAGACCAAAGUGGGGGACCUUCGGGCCUCAUGCCAUCAGAUGUGCCCAGAUGGGAUUAGCUAGUAGGUGAGGUAACGGCUCACCUAGGCGACGAUCCCUAGCUGGUCUGAGAGGAUGACCAGCCACACUGGGACUGAGACACGGUCCAGACUCCUACGGGAGGCAGCAGUGGGGAAUAUUGCACAAUGGGCGCAAGCCUGAUGCAGCCAUGCCGCGUGUAUGAAGAAGGCCUUCGGGUUGUAAAGUACUUUCAGCGGGGAGGAAGGCGAUAAGGUUAAUAACCUUGUCGAUUGACGUUACCCGCAGAAGAAGCACCGGCUAACUCCGUGCCAGCAGCCGCGGUAAUACGGAGGGUGCAAGCGUUAAUCGGAAUUACUGGGCGUAAAGCGCACGCAGGCGGUCUGUCAAGUCGGAUGUGAAAUCCCCGGGCUCAACCUGGGAACUGCAUUCGAAACUGGCAGGCUAGAGUCUUGUAGAGGGGGGGUAGAAUUCCAGGUGUAGCGGUGAAAUGCGUAGAGAUCUGGAGGAAUACCGGUGGCGAAGGCGGCCCCCUGGACAAAGACUGACGCUCAGGUGCGAAAGCGUGGGGAGCAAACAGGAUUAGAUACCCUGGUAGUCCACGCCGUAAACGAUGUCGAUUUGGAGGUUGUGCCCUUGAGGCGUGGCUUUCGGAGCUAACGCGUUAAAUCGACCGCCUGGGGAGUACGGCCGCAAGGUUAAAACUCAAAUGAAUUGACGGGGGCCCGCACAAGCGGUGGAGCAUGUGGUUUAAUUCGAUGCAACGCGAAGAACCUUACCUGGUCUUGACAUCCACAGAACUUAGCAGAGAUGCUUUGGUGCCUUCGGGAACUGUGAGACAGGUGCUGCAUGGCUGUCGUCAGCUCGUGUUGUGAAAUGUUGGGUUAAGUCCCGCAACGAGCGCAACCCUUAUCCUUUGUUGCCAGCGGUUAGGCCGGGAACUCAAAGGAGACUGCCAGUGAUAAACUGGAGGAAGGUGGGGAUGACGUCAAGUCAUCAUGGCCCUUACGACCAGGGCUACACACGUGCUACAAUGGCGCAUACAAAGAGAAGCGACCUCGCGAGAGCAAGCGGACCUCAUAAAGUGCGUCGUAGUCCGGAUUGGAGUCUGCAACUCGACUCCAUGAAGUCGGAAUCGCUAGUAAUCGUAGAUCAGAAUGCUACGGUGAAUACGUUCCCGGGCCUUGUGCACACCGCCCGUCACACCAUGGGAGUGGGUUGCAAAAGAAGUAGGUAGCUUAACCUUCGGGAGGGCGCUUACCACUUUGUGAUUCAUGACUGGGGUGAAG